UACGAAGGGAGCUAGCGUUGUUCGGAAUUACUGGGCGUAAAGGGCGCGUAGGCGGUUUAACAAGUUGGAUGUGAAAGCCCUGGGCUCAACCCGGGAAUUGCAUUCAAGACUGUUUCACUAGAAUUUGGUAGAGGUUGGUAGAAUUCCCAGUGUAGAGGUGAAAUUCGUAGAGAUUGGGAAGAAUACCCGUGGCGAAGGCGGCCAACUGGACCAACAUUGACGCUGAGGCGCGAAAGCGUGGGUAGCAAACAGG
rnacentral:rRNA from 1 species